GAUGAACGCUGGCGGCGUGCCUAAUACAUGCAAGUCGAGCGAACGGACGAGAAGCUUGCUUCUCUGAUGUUAGCGGCGGACGGGUGAGUAACGCGUGGAUAACCUACCUAUAAGACUGGGAUAACUUCGGGAAACCGGAGCUAAUACCGGAUAAUAUUUUGAACCGCAUGGUUCAAAAGUGAAAGACGGUCUUGCUGUCACUUAUAGAUGGAUCCGCGCUGCAUUAGCUAGUUGGUAAGGUAACGGCUUACCAAGGCAACGAUGCAUAGCCGACCUGAGAGGGUGAUCGGCCACACUGGAGCUGAGACACGGUCCAGACUCCUACGGGAGGCAGCAGUAGGGAAUCUUCCGCAAUGGGCGAAAGCCUGACGGAGCAACGCCGCGUGAGUGAUGAAGGUCUUCGGAUCGUAAAACUCUGUUAUUAGGGAAGAACAUAUGUGUAAGUAACUGUGCACAUCUUGACGGUACCUAAUCAGAAAGCCACGGCUAACUACGUG
rnacentral:rRNA from 1 species